GCCAUAUAUCGCUGAAAUACCGGUUCCCGUAUGAUCGCCGAAGUUAAGCAACGUCGAGUUUGGUCAGUACCUAGAUGAGUAACCGCUUGGGAAUACCAGGAGCUGUAAG